AUCCUUGACAUCACCCUUCUCUGGAGGGCCCGGACUUUCCAGAGUCUACUGGAAGCUCUCAUAUGAACUGGGGAAUCUAUCACUGGGUUCUCACAUGGAUUUGGGGUAAUGUCAUUGCAUGUACACAGUUUAAGACAGAGCAUCUGGUGAUUCUCGGACCUUCAAGCAAGUGUCACAUCUCAGGUGAACCUUGGCAGUUUUAAGAUGAACAAAGUAAUCAAAGCAAAAAUGUCAAAUAAUAAUAAUAAUAAUGAUAUCAGAAGAAUGUCCAGUGCCAUGGUUGGAUUCCCAGAAGGCAGCAUCUGCUCAUGCCAUCAACAACAUGGUGCCAUUUCAGUCAUCCUCUUUUUGUCCCAAAGACAGAAAAAAAAUAGAAAAAAGAAAGAGAAAAAGACACCACGA
rnacentral:lncRNA from 10 species